rnacentral:rRNA from 1 species
CCCUUAGAUGUUCGGGGCUGCACACGCGCUACACUGGAGGAAACAGCGUGUAUUGUCCUGGUCCGAAAGGACUGGGUAAACCUGUGAAACUUCUCCGUGCUUGGGAUAGCGGAUUGAAAUUGUUUCGCUUCAACGAGGAAUUCCUAGUAAUCGCAAGUCAACAGCUUGCAAUGAUUACGUCCCUGCCCUUUGUACACACCGCCCGUCGCUACUACUGAUUGGACGGUUAAGCAAGAACUUCAAAUACUUGCAGUUUUGACUUCGGUUGAGACAGCGAGUUGAAGAAGAUCGAGCUUAUUUGUCUAGAGGAAGUAAAAGUCGUAACA